rnacentral:rRNA from 1 species
AAAUGAAUAGACGGGGGCCUACAACUAGUGGUGGAGCAUGAGAUUUAAUGCGAUAAUCCGCGCAAAACCUUACCAAUUCUUGACAUAAAAUAUAUUUAGAAAUUUUACUAUGCUAGUAAAAUAUACUAAUCAUUAUUUUACAGGUGUUGCACGACUGUCGUCAGUUCGUGUCGUGAGAUGUUUGGUUAAUUCCGUUAACGAGCGCAACUCUUAUCUUUAAUUUAAAGUUUACAGAUGAUUUUAAAUUUUUUAAUUUAAUCAAGCUUUAAAGAAACAGUUAAUGAUAAAUUGAAGGAAGGUAAGAACUAAGUCAAGUCAAUGUGGCCCUGAUGAAUUGGGCUAUCCUUGUGCUACAAUGAAAAUUACAAUGAGUAACAAAAAAUUAAAAAUUUUUAGUUAAUCUUUAAAAGUUUUCCCAGUUCGGAUUGUAAACUGCAACUCGUUUACAUGAAGGUGGAAUCACUAGUAAUCGCAAAUCAGCACGUUGCGGUGAAUAUGUAUCUUGGCCUUGUACACACCGCCCGU